CACGUGGUAUCCUGUCUGAAUAUGGGGGGACCAUCCUCCAAGGCUAAAUACUCCUGACUGACCGAUAGUGAACCAGUACCGUGAGGGAAAGGCGAAAAGAACCCCGGCGAGGGGAGUGAAAAAGAACCUGAAACCGUGUACGUACAAGCAGUGGGAGCACGCUUCGGCGUGUGACUGCGUACCUUUUGUAUAAUGGGUCAGCGACUUAUAUUCUGUAGCAAGGUUAACCGAAUAGGGGAGCCGAAGGGAAACCGAGUCUUAACUGGGCGUUAAGUUGCAGGGUAUAGACCCGAAACCCGGUGAUCUAGCCAUGGGCAGGUUGAAGGUUGGGUAACACUAACUGGAGGACCGAACCGACUAAUGUUGAAAAAUUAGCGGAUGACUUGUGGCUGGGGGUGAAAGGCCAAUCAAACCGGGAGAUAGCUGGUUCUCCCCGAAAGCUAUUUAGGUAGCGCCUCGUGAAUUCAUCUCCGGGGGUAGAGCACUGUUUCGGCAAGGGGGUCAUCCCGACUUACCAACCCGAUGCAAACUGCGAAUACCGGAGAAUGUUAUCACGGGAGACACACGGCGGGUGCUAACGUCCGUCGUGAAGAGGGAAACAACCCAGACCGCCAGCUAAGGUCCCAAAGUCAUGGUUAAGUGGGAAACGAUGUGGGAAGGCCCAGACAGCCAGGAUGUUGGCUUAGAAGCAGCCAUCAUUUAAAGAAAGCGUAAUAGCUCACUGGUCGAGUCGGCCUGCGCGGAAGAUGUAACGGGGCUAAACCAUGCACCGAAGCUGCGGCAGCGACACUAUGUGUUGUUGGGUAGGGGAGCGUUCUGUAAGCCUGUGAAGGUGUGCUGUGAGGCAUGCUGGAGGUAUCAGAAGUGCGAAUGCUGACAUAAGUAACGAUAAAGCGGGUGAAAAGCCCGCUCGCCGGAAGACCAAGGGUUCCUGUCCAACGUUAAUCGGGGCAGGGUGAGUCGACCCCUAAGGCGAGGCCGAAAGGCGUAGUCGAUGGGAAACAGGUUAAUAUUCCUGUACUUGGUGUUACUGCGAAGGGGGGACGGAGAAGGCUAUGUUGGCCGGGCGACGGUUGUCCCGGUUUAAGCGUGUAGGCUGGUUUUCCAGGCAAAUCCGGAAAAUCAAGGCUGAGGCGUGAUGACGAGGCACUACGGUGCUGAAGCAACAAAUGCCCUGCUUCCAGGAAAAGCCUCUAAGCAUCAGGUAACAUUAAAUCGUACCCCAAACCGACACAGGUGGUCAGGUAGAGAAUACCAAGGCGCUUGAGAGAACUCGGGUGAAGGAACUAGGCAAAAUGGUGCCGUAACUUCGGGAGAAGGCACGCUGAUAUGUAGGUGAAGUCCCUCGCGGAUGGAGCUGAAAUCAGUCGAAGAUACCAGCUGGCUGCAACUGUUUAUUAAAAACACAGCACUGUGCAAACACGAAAGUGGACGUAUACGGUGUGACGCCUGCCCGGUGCCGGAAGGUUAAUUGAUGGGGUUAGCGGUAACGCGAAGCUCUUGAUCGAAGCCCCGGUAAACGGCGGCCGUAACUAUAACGGUCCUAAGGUAGCGAAAUUCCUUGUCGGGUAAGUUCCGACCUGCACGAAUGGCGUAAUGAUGGCCAGGCUGUCUCCACCCGAGACUCAGUGAAAUUGAACUCGCUGUGAAGAUGCAGUGUACCCGCGGCAAGACGGAAAGACCCCGUGAACCUUUACUAUAGCUUGACACUGAACAUUGAGCCUUGAUGUGUAGGAUAGGUGGGAGGCUUUGAAGUGUGGACGCCAGUCUGCAUGGAGCCGACCUUGAAAUACCACCCUUUAAUGUUUGAUGUUCUAACGUUGACCCGUGAUCCGGGUUGCGGACAGUGUCUGGUGGGUAGUUUGACUGGGGCGGUCUCCUCCUAAAGAGUAACGGAGGAGCACGAAGGUUGGCUAAUCCUGGUCGGACAUCAGGAGGUUAGUGCAAUGGCAUAAGCCAGCUUGACUGCGAGCGUGACGGCGCGAGCAGGUGCGAAAGCAGGUCAUAGUGAUCCGGUGGUUCUGAAUGGAAGGGCCAUCGCUCAACGGAUAAAAGGUACUCCGGGGAUAACAGGCUGAUACCGCCCAAGAGUUCAUAUCGACGGCGGUGUUUGGCACCUCGAUGUCGGCUCAUCACAUCCUGGGGCUGAAGUAGGUCCCAAGGGUAUGGCUGUUCGCCAUUUAAAGUGGUACGCGAGCUGGGUUUAGAACGUCGUGAGACAGUUCGGUCCCUAUCUGCCGUGGGCGCUGGAGAACUGAGGGGGGCUGCUCCUAGUACGAGAGGACCGGAGUGGACGCAUCACUGGUGUUCGGGUUGUCAUGCCAAUGGCACUGCCCGGUAGCUAAAUGCGGAAGAGAUAAGUGCUGAAAGCAUCUAAGCACGAAACUUGCC
rnacentral:rRNA from 1 species